CACUGAUUAAGAUUUUUCACCAUUUUUUGACAUUGUAUAGACCAAACAACUAAUCGAUUAAUCGAGAAAAUAAUCGGCAGAUUAAUUGACAAUGAAAAUAAACGUUAGUUGCAGCCCUAAUUUAAAAUCAAUCACACAGACACGAUAUCGGUAAAAAUUAAUCUUAAGAAAGAUUGAAGGUGAAGAACUAAUUUGGUAAUUGAUUAAACCAAAUUUCAUUGGUUCUCCAGCUCCUCACUUUUGAGGAUUUGCUGUUUUUUAUUUGAUAGUGAACUAUAUAUGUUUGGGUUUUUCACAAACAAUUGAGCAGAUUAAUUGAUAAUGAAAAUACUAAUUCAUUGCAGCCCUAUAUUUGCCCUAUAGUUUGGCUUACCAAAACGUUCUGUUUGCAAGUCCCUUCAGAACGAAAACUUCCCCCUUCCUCACUCUGGUUCUUCUUGAGUCAGCCAACUCUGAAUCACAGCCUCAGUCUGUCUUUGUUUUAAUAAAAACAAAAAAAUCUAAACAUAAGUCUCACACUGCAAAUCACUGAACGUCACGAUCAAGGGAUACGACUCUGCCUCCACUUUCACAUAUUCAAACCGUAUCUGACAUCUUUUUAAACUGUGCAUUUCAUGUGGGAGGUGAACGUCGUUCUCUCUGAUGCUGCUGUUCAGAUUAAAUGGCACCAAAUACCCCAAACAGAACAGACUCAGACAGUUUGAGACCUGAGACAGACGACGAGAAGCCGUUGGAUCGGAUUUUAGUAGCCUAGAGACGACUUUCAAAUCACAGCAGGUCUCUUUUAGAAUAGUCAUUAGUUUCUCUACAUUUCAAACACAUAUAAAGGUCUUACAGUUGUAUUUUAGACUGCAGGAUCGUUUUUAUACACAUCAUUGGUUUUGUCACUUUUUUAAAACCUUUUUACGGUUCAAAAUGUUUGCCUCUAUGUCUGUACAGAACAAAGCUGCUAUUUUAUUCUUUUUUUUUCUCUUUUGGAUGUUAUAUAUAUAUAUAUACAUAUAUAUAUAUAUGUAUAUAUAUAUAUAUGUAUAUAUAAAAAGAAAUCCUUCAGGUUUGGUAUUUUAUGGUCUCCACUACAGUCCAUUUCUUAUAUCUUCAAACUCUGUUUAAAAACUAAAAAAAAAACUAAAAAAAAUAAAUAAGAUGAUUUAGAUAUAAAAGUUUUUCUGUUACCCCAAAAGGUUUUCUGUAACACUAUAUUUUGUUCAUUGCCUUUUAUUUUUAUGAAAUCUUUCCUCCUGUAUUUGUUUCGUGGAUGUCUAUAUUAUUUUAUUAUUAUUAAUAUUAUUAUUAUUAUUUGGAAUGGACACCUUAGCUCGGCGUGUGAGUGUGUACUUUCUGCACCCUUUUUUGUACUUGUUGUCUAGCACUGCGCCUAGCAUUGCCCUCUAGGUGCAACUCAAUCUCAGGUCAAAGUAAAGGCUUUGCUUUCUCCACACAUUCUCAUGAUCGUCCUCUACUUGUCUCAGCUUGUACCUCCCCGUUUCCUCCCUGUUUCCUCCCCCCCUAUCAUGUUUUGUUGAGUCCAGUAGUGCCCUCUCUCCUCCCCGCUGGCCCCUCACUCACCUCGACAUCAUACUGUACCUGUUUCCCCCCCGGUGCCUCCUUUUGAAGUCAGCGUACGAGAUAUUUACUUUAUACCAGAUCUGGCAUUUUAACCCAUCCGUUUCUUGCCUCUUCUCGAAUCAAUAGGGCUAAUUGGGUUGUCUCGUUUGCCUUAAUUAUGCCAACCAUCUCUCAACCAUUCAAUUGUUUUUCUUCCUUUUUGUAUUACUUCUUCGACACUCUCAAGCGCAAUAUAUAUAUAUAACGCCACUUCUGCUACUUCUUCAUAGUGAGAACAGGUCUUAUUGUUUGUCUUCAUAAUCACUGCUUCUGAAAACCAAAUAAAGGAUGGGUUAAAGUCCAGGGAAGGGAACACAUUUCAAUGUCAUGAAUGGAAAAAAAAAGGUCUUAAAAUGGAGGCUGAAUAGUGAAAAGUGUUUUGAAGGAUUUCUCCUCAUCUUUUUUGGAAAAUGUUCCCUGGUGAUUUUUUUUUUCUCCUCUCUUUGAAGUUUUUUUUUUUUUUUUCUGUAGGAGUGUUAUUUAUUUAUUUUUUUAUUUUUCCUUUUGUGAUAUCAGUUUAAAUCACUGUAUACAUGCCCCAUGAUUCAGUAUAAAGUUGGAUUUUUUUGUAUGUAUUUUCUUUGGUGUCAUGACUGGGGGACUUAAAAAAGGUUGUUUUUUUUCCCUUCAAGUAUAUAAUCUACCUCACUCUUUUUAAAUGUAUGGAAAAACAAGUACAUCUCACUCUCUCAUCAGUUUGUAUAGAAACCUCAUCAUCUGGAUACAACCCCACAGGGAUCUAGAUAAACCUCACAAAGCGGACUAGGUCAGGAGAUGGAAUAUCUGUGUUGGAAGUUCAGCCCACCGAUUUCAAAAAGUAAAAUUAUAUCUCUGAGAAUACAAAGGAGAGGACAUCAGUACAGUGUGCUUUAGUUCUCCGCAGAAUCAGUUUAAAUUGUUGUCUGGUAUUUAGGUGAGAAAAUAUUACAUCAUUUUAUUACACAGCUUUGUUGAAUACUCAGUUCUGAUUGGUCGAUCACAGCGUUUUACGGUCUGUUAUUUCUUUAUAGCAGACCGUUGCUAUGUAUAACAGCCGUUGCUAUGGGCGCAGUUCUGAUGUCGGACUCUGACGGACUGUUUUUGUGUCCAAUUUUUGAUUUCUUAAGUAAGUAGCCGUGUAAUAAGCGGGAUAAUGUACAACUUCAGUGCGAUGCAUGACUCCUCUGUGAAGCCGCAUCGCCCUGUUGGGGUUUAUUUCACAAUGACCAGCUCGCUGUACAUUAUCCCUUACUUGUCAACCUACACUUUAAUUUGAGUGGAUAUAGUGUAACAAGGCUUGGAGCAGGUGCAGUAUAGACCUUUUCAAAUUUGACAACAUUAACAUCCUAAAUGGGUCCCUUUGUAUUUCCUGUUGCGAUGUUUGUUGAUGCAGUAGCUGACAGGAAGUGAUCUUGGACCAAAGCGGUUGCCCUAGCAAUAGAAUGGCAAUGAAAAGGUCUAUAUGAGACCGGGGCACAACAUCAACAUCCGAUAUCCCAUCUCCUCUGACUCCCCAACAUAUUGUCACAACCUUAAAUCCUCAAAACCUUUGAGAAAUCUUCGUUUUCUCAUCUAAAAAUGCAUUUAUACAGAAGUCCGAACAGUUAUCAUGGGGAAUAUUUAAAAAGGGAAAAAAAUGUUUUAUUGACCUCCAAGAAAAAGAAAUGUAUUCGCUGUUUACCUGUAGCCUGUAAUGCUGCGAGGUUACAGCACAACUCAAACAUCCAGAUGUCAUUCAAAAACAUUGCAUUUAGUUAUAUAUAUAUACUGUAUGGAUCAGUGCUGUGAAUGUAACAAGGACAUUUCUGUACACAAAACCUUUGUAGAGAUAGCAGCAACUCCACCUCCAUGUUUCUAUCUUCAGUCCUAAAAAAUGGACACUUUCAAUCAUUUGUCAUCUUUUUUUUUUUUUUUUUUACCCCGUAAACUCUUUGUGUAUACAUGAACGCCAUCACUUCCCCUGUCCAAGUCUACCUGCUGAAUGCCAUGGCGUUCUCGCUGUAGUGAUAGCGAAUUUCCACCACUUUUGGCGUUUUGGAAGUAAACUCAACACGCCUUUUCUGGCCUAUUUGUACUGCUACUUUACACUAAUGCUGCUGGUUUAAACGGUCACCUCAGUGGAUCUUAUAUUGUCAUCAAAAAUGUUGAGCGUGAAGGUGACAAAAGGAGCUUUUACAUCUCAAACUUCAGUUCUGCUCAAAGUGGCGACUUGGAGAGUGCUGUCUCAGUGCAAGGGCUUCUGGGAUGGUAAAAACAAUUCAUGUUGAAAUUAAAACCCAAAAGCAAUAAAAAAAAAAAAAAAAAAAAAUAGGCCAAUGGGUAACUUCUAAUGUGAAAUCUGGGUGCUCAAUUUGGGUUUUUCUUCAGAAUUUAUCUGUGCAUGAUUUAA